CACGUAGGGCGCAAGCGUUGUCCGGAAUUAUUGGGCGUAAAGAGCUCGUAGGCGGUCUGUUGCGUCCGCUGUGAAAACCCGGGGCUUAACCCCUGGCUUGCAGUGGAUACGGACAGACUAGAGGUAGGUAGGGGAGAAUGGAAUUCCCGGUGUAGCGGUGAAAUGCGUAGAUACUGGGAGGAACACCGGUGGCGAAGGCGGCUACCUGGACCGGUACUGACGCUGAGGCGCGAAAGCGUGGGUAGCAAACAGG
rnacentral:rRNA from 1 species